rnacentral:rRNA from 1 species
GACGUAGGGUCCAAGCGUUGUCCGGAUUUACUGGGCGUAAAGAGCGCGUAGGCGGUCCGUUAAGUGUAGAGUGAAAUCUCUGGGCUCACCCCCAGAAACUGCUCUGCAUACUGGCGGCCUUGAGUAUGGCAGAGGUGUGUGGAACUCCGAGUGUAGAGGUGAAAUUCGUAGAUAUUCGGAAGAACACCAGUGGCGAAGGCGACACACUGGGCCAUUACUGACGCUGAGGAGCGAAAGCGUGGGUAGCAAACAGG